GCAUGGUCUUGUUAUUAAAGAAUUUCGGUUAUCGAUGGGGAUGCGUUCCAUUAGGCAGUUGGUGAGGUAACGGCUCACCAAACCUUCGAUGGAUAGGGGUUCUGAGAGGAAGGUCCCCCACAUUGGAACUGAGACACGGUCCAAACUCCUACGGGAGGCAGCAGUGAGGAAUAUUGGUCAAUGGGCGCAGGCCUGAACCAGCCAAGUAGCGUGAAGGAUGACUGCCCUAUGGGUUGUAAACUUCUUUUAUAUGGGAAUAAAGUUUUCCACGUGUGGAAUUUUGUAUGUACCAUAUGAAUAAGGAUCGGCUAACUCCGUGCCAGCAGCCGCGGUGAUACGGAGGAUCCGAGCGUUAUCCGGAUUUAUUGGGUUUAAAGGGAGCGUAGGUGGACAGUUAAGUCAGUUGUGAAAGUUUGCGGCUCAACCGUAAAAUUGCAGUUGAUACUGGCUGUCUUGAGUUCAGUAGAGGUGGGCGGAAUUCGUGGUGUAGCGGUGAAAUGCUUAGAUAUCACGAAGAACUCCGAUUGCGAAGGCAGCUCACUGGACUGCAACUGACACUGAUGCUCGAAAGUGUGGGUAUCAAACAGGAUUAGAUACCCUGGUAGUCCACACAGUAAACGAGGAAUACUCGCUGUUUGCGAUAUACAGUAAGCGGCC
rnacentral:rRNA from 1 species